GUUUUUUGGAUGUAAGUAAUUCUAAUAAAAUUAUUUACAACUGUGAUGGUGGCUUGGCGUUUUCACUUGUAAAUGGAAAUCCAGGUGUUUUGUUUCAGUCUGCAACAGACGAUACAAGAUAUAUUUGUCAUCUAGGGUUUGUUCCUCAUUUGCUACCCUUGGGUGGUAAUGAGCAUACCUUUUAUAUU
rnacentral:lncRNA from 1 species